GAGGGUGUAGCUCAGUGGUGGAGCACAUGCUUCUCAUGCACAAGGUCCUGAGUUCGAUCCCCAGUACCUCCA
rnacentral:tRNA from 1 species